AUAAUUUAUAAUACACGCCGGGCCACAGGUUACGCUAGAGAAACGCUUGUAUACGAGGGGAAUAAAAAUCUAUCGCCACCACUAUACUGAGUUAUUAAUUAUUAUAAUAAUACACCCCGGAUUGUACAAAUGAACCAUUGGUCCAAAAUUUGGAUGAUUACCCUCCGCCACCGCUUCCCUGAGGAUCAAGGUACCCUUUCGAUAUCCUAUAAUACACCCCAGUCCAUGGGUUGUGCAAGUGAACUGCUGGUUGAAAAGGAUCACGGGUUGUGCAAGUGAGCUUGUGCUUGGAAAUCCACAUCACUCACAAUCUCAGAAAUCAUAUGAGAGAGCAAAUGGAGACAUUCUUUUGGUGGCAACAAGACUAGUAAGUUGGCUUAGGGACAGUGGUUUGUUCAGUAUGCCAAGUUCAAAUUAUCGACCGUGGAAAAACGGAUCCCCACUACGUCUUGGCUGUUGUGAUCCAUGUAGCAGAGAACAUAUAUAAUAGAUUACGGACAAAAAAUUAUGUAUUAAAACAGUUCAAUGUCUGAGCCAUGCAAAGAGUAAUUCCUUAGUGUUGAUGGAAGUUCCAGAGAUAAGGAAGUUACAUUCCGACUAAUCAAAUCAAUUUUGUCGGAUGGAAAUGGAUAAGGCCUUAAGUGGUGCAAUUGCACAUACUCCAAACAAAUAAGUUCAUCUGCAAAAAAAAGGACACCUUUGUAAAUGUAAAUGCCAUAAUAGAACCACAUGCAGAAAAAUUAGAUUAUUUGGUGAAUGUGUUUAUGUUUAGGAUAUAUUUGGGUAACAUUAGUUAUGUUGGCGAUUUUUUUUAAAUUAUUACAUUUUAUGUUGAAAAGUAUAUUUAAACAAGUUUUUUGUUUAUGUCUAUUUUGAACAAACUAAUAAUAUUUAUCUGAAAUAUAUAACUGGUUAGUUCGAAUAUUAUGAAA
rnacentral:lncRNA from 1 species